AAGUCUGGGCCACCUUUGCUCUGUGGGGGCGGUGGUGGCCGUGGUGUGGAGGUGGAUCCUAUCUCCACUGCAGCUGGUGUAGGGAUUUGGGCUGCUACCGCAGCCUGUAUCCCUGACACCUGCAGCUCCAUCACUGGUUCCCGGGAUCCCAGGUGGGUAAUGGGUAUGUAUGUUUGUAUGUUUGUAUGUUUGUAUGUUUGUAUGUAUGUAUGUAUGUAUGUAUGUAUGUAUGUAUGUAUGUAUGUAUGUAUGUAUGUAUGUAUGUAUGUAUGUAUGUAUGUAUGUAUGUAUG
rnacentral:lncRNA from 1 species